ACAGGUGCCUGUGCCACAUUAUUUGCACGGAGAGACUGUGUCCAGUGAACGGUUCUGAUCAGUAAACUGUUGACUAGGAACAUCCCGAGAGCCAAGUUCCCAGAUGCCAGCCAAGGGCCAUCUGACCUGUUUUGAAUCUCAAUUUCCUGAUACAGAAAACAAAGGAUUGUCAGCUGACCUCUGUCCUGUGUGCCCAGUGGCCCCAGGUGACGUGUCUUCAAGAAGAGGCUGAGCUGCGGUGCUUGUAAGAGUCAUGUGCUGUUCCUGGGGCUUGGAUGAUGUAGGGGAAGCAAGGUGAAAGUGGUAUCCCGUGGUUCCACGUUCUGUCCUGCUGUGGGGCUGUCCCUCACAUGCUUUCAGUGGCUGUUGCAGAGGAAGAGCCUCCGGAAAUCUGCGUGGGUAAAGUGAGCUCCCCGGGGGAACCGUCCUCCUCCCUUGAGCGCUGGUGUGUCCAUAGUGUGCUGUGAUCUGGAUUAGCAGUGAGUUUUUCUUUCAGGGUGUGUGUGUAUGAUGUUAGGACCAUAUGCUCCUGACCUUUUCCAACCCAAAAGCGUUUCCAUUUUUUUAAUGCUGGAAGUGUCUUAACUCCUUUUGGGGUCUUAGAAGGACACACGGUGGCCGUGGCUGGGCCUCUGCUCAGCUGGGCUGCUCUCCCUGCCUCAGGCCCUUGACACCAGCCUCCCUCCCUUGCUGGCUCUCUUUCUGUCCUUCCCUGCUCUUGUAUCCAAAAGUGAUCAUGGGUUGCCUGUGUCCCGAUCAUUAACAGUGCAGGGGUAGGAGUGCUGAAAGACAUCUUCCCUGCGUUGGUCCAGCCUUCCCUUUCAAACCCUGGAGCUUUCCCACGCUGCAGCCUUUUUCCAACUAGGCUUUCAGAGCUUGGGCCUUUGUGGGCCCAUGUGAUGUGGUGACUAGACCCACCCCCUGACUUCUGAGGGUUCAUUUUGUCUUUUCAUGUUAGGGAUCCUCCUGCCAGAAACCAGUCUGCAUUUCUCUCUGGGCCCCACGCUGGAAUGAAUUCAGAUAGCAGUGAAGGGCACACGUGAGAACUGCGAAUCACGGGCUUUGCUUCAUGAAAUGUGAAAUCCACAUUGUUUCCACAGGCACCAUCAGUAAUGUCGAACAAAUGGAGAAAGUUGCAGGUGGGGCUAGGAAAGCUGUAUUCCUGUGGAUUACUCUAGCUGGUCAUUUGCCCCGAUUGUGAACUGCUUGAAAGAAAAACGAAACUUCUAAGAUGUUUGUCCUUUCAUGUCCUUUCUGUUGGGAUUUUUUAUUUGGUGUGCGUGAAUGAGGAGCUUCGCCCUGCUUGAAUGGGACCCCUCUCAGUGGUGUCAGCUUGGGGAGGAGGAGAUGGCCCUGGAGACUAAAUACUUGUAUGCUUUCUUACCCUCUUAGGUCUCAGCCUUAGAUCCAAGGACAGUCCAAGGAAGUCCUAAGACCAUGGAGUUGGUGAUCUGGGAUCUGGGUUUGCUGAUAUUUCUCACCGUGAAUCUCUUGGUGGUGUUUGUGGGCACGAGAGGGGCAGAGAAUGGAGAGUGAGGCUACCACAUGAAGCGUCACCAGAGCUGCUCCCUGCUGCCUGCUCAGAGCACCCCGGAUCCACUGUUCAAUCUGCACAAGAUUCGGGGUCCAGACAUGGGAGACUUCAGCUGCCUCAGAGGACCGUGGACAGGGAAGGCCAGCCUCGCAUCCCUCUGUCCAUGCCUGGAAUGACUUUAAUAACCAAGAGUUUUAUUUUUGAAUUUGUAGCUGUCGUUCACUUUUUACCCACCCAUUCAAUAAACCUUACAGAAUUGCUCCA
rnacentral:lncRNA from 1 species